GUACUUGAUGGGAAACUGUCUGGGAGAGUAGGACGCAGCCAAGU
rnacentral:rRNA from 1 species